GACGAACGCUGGCGGCGUGCUUAACACAUGCAAGUCGAGCGGUAAGGCCCUUUCGGGGGUACACGAGCGGCGAACGGGUGAGUAACACGUGGGUGACCUGCCCUCAGCUCUGGGAUAAGCCUGGGAAACUGGGUCUAAUACUGGAUAUGACUCCACGGUGCAUGUCGUGGGGUGGAAAGCCUUGUGCGGCUGAGGAUGGGCCCGCGGCCUAUCAGCUUGUUGGGGGGUGAUGGCCUACCAAGGCGACGACGGGUAGCCGGCCUGAGAGGGCGACCGGCCACACUGGGACUGAGACACGGCCCAGACUCCUACGGGAGGCAGCAGUGGGGAAUCUUGCGCAAUGGGCGAAAGCCUGACGCAGCGACGCCGCGUGGAGGAUGAAGGCCU
rnacentral:rRNA from 1 species